AUGGCUGUCGUCAGCUCGUGUCGUGAGAUGUUGGGUUAAGUCCCGCAACGAGCGCAACCCCUACCCUUAAUUGCCAUCGGGUUAUGCCGGGCACUUUAGGGGGACUGCCGGUGACAAGCCGGAGGAGGGUGGGGAUGACGUCAAGUCCUCAUGGCCUUUAUGACCAGGGCUACACACGUGUUACAAUGGGAGUUACAGAGGGAAGCUAAGCCGCGAGGCCAUGCCAAUCCCAGAAAAACUUUCUCAGUUCGGAUCGCAGUCUGCAACUCGACUGCGUGAAGCUGGAAUCGCUAGUAAUCGCGGAUCAGCACGCCGCGGUGAAUACGUUCCCGGGCCUUGUACACACCGCCCGUCACACCAUGGGAGCCGACAAGGGCAGAAGUCGCCGAGCUAACCUUCGGGAAGCAGGCGCCCAAGCUGUUGUUGACGACUGGGGUGAAGUCGUAACAAGGUAGCCGUAGGAGAACCUGCGGCUGGAUCACCUCCUUUCUAAGGACGCCGGAGAUGCUUUAUGCUUAUCUCCGGAUAGUCAAAGUCGAAACAGACUCUCUUCUCUUCUCUCCCUUUUCUCCUGUAAAUGCUAAGUUAUGAAUUUAGAGCAACGAAGAAAUUGAAUUCGUUACUGUGGACUCCUAAUUUCAAGAGGGGCCUGUAGCUCAGCUUGGUUAGAGCGCAUCCCUGAUAAGGAUGAGGCCGGUGGUUCAAGUCCACCCAGGCCCACCAGGUUCAGUGGGGGAUUAGCUCAGCUGGUAGAGCGCCUGCUUUGCAAGCAGGAGGUCAGCGGUUCGACCCCGCUAUCCUCCACCAAAUUAAUGAACAGUAAAAAAAGGUGGUGCAGCUUAAGCAGAAGAUAAGCUUCAGCAAUUAUUUAAUAAUUUCUGAAUUUUAUUUUUUAAUAUCUUAGACAAUUGAAUCGGAGGUUUUGGAGACACAAGAUCAAAUGUGAGGGUCUCCAAGGGUUGACGAUCUUGACUGUUAAAGUCAGGUAGUAAGGGCGCAGGGCGGAUGCCUUGGCUCUGGGAAGCGAAGAAGGACGUGGCCAGCUGCGAUAAGCCUCGGGGAAGAGCAAACAUCUUUUGAUCCGGGGAUUUCCGAAUGGGGAAACCCGG
rnacentral:sRNA from 1 species